rnacentral:lncRNA from 1 species
CAAAACCAGAGCAGACCAAACCAGAGCAGACCAAACCAGAGCAGUCCAAAACAGAGCAGUCCAAAUCAGAGCAGUACAAACAAGAGCAGUCCAAACAAGAGCAGUCCAAACCGAACCAGAGAAGUCCAAACCAGAGAAGUCCAAACCAGAGCCGACCGAACCAGAGCAGUCCAAACCAAACCAGAGCAGUCCAAACCAAACCAGAGCAGUCCAAACCAGAGCAGUCCAAACCAGAGCAGUCCAAACCAGAGCAGUCCAAACCAGAGCAGUCCAAACCAGAGCAGUACAAACCAGAGCAGUCCAAACCGAACCAGAGCAGUCCAAACCAGAGCAGUCCAAACCAGACCGGAGCAGUCCAAACCGGAGCAGUCCAAACCAGAGCAGUCCAAACCAGAGCAGUCCAAACCGAACCAGAGCAGUCCAAACCAGAGCAGUCCAAACCAGAGCAGUCCAAACCAGAGCAGUCCAAACCAAAUCAUAGCAGUCCAAACCAGAGCAGUCCAAAUCGGAGCAGUCCAAACCAGAGCAGUCCAAACCAGAGCAGUCCAAACCAAAUCAUAGCAGUCCAAACCAGAGCAGUCCAAACCAGAGCAGUCCAAAUCAUAGCAGUCCAAACCAGAGCAGUCCAAACCAGAGCCGUCCAAACCAGAGCAGUCCAAACCAGAGCAGUCCAAACCGGAGCAGUCCAAACCGGAGCAGAACAAACCAGAGCCGACCAAACCGGAGCAGUCCAAACCGGAGCAGUCCAAACCAGAGCAGUCCAAACCAGAGCAGUCCAAACCGAACCAGAGCAGUCCAAACCAGAGCAGUCCAAACCAGAGCAGUCCAAACCAGAGCAGUCCAAACCAGAGCCGACCAAACCGGAGCAGUCCAAACCGGAGCAGUCCAAACCAGAGCAGUCCAAACCAGAGCAGUCCAAACCGAACCAGAGCAGUCCAAACCAGAGCAGUCCAAACCGGAGCAGUCCAAACCGGAGCCGACCAAACCGGAGCAGUCCAAACCGGAGCAGUCCAAACCAGAGCAGUCCAAACCAGAGCAGUCCAAACCGGAGCAGUCCAAACCGGAGCAGAACAAACCGGAGCAGUCCAAACCGGAGCAGUCCAAACCUGAGCAGUCCAAACCUGAGCAGAGCAGACCAAGCGAAGGGAAGAGAUAACCACAUCACAGGGGCUGGAGGUUGAGAUUGACAUCCCCUGGUGGUACCAGAGUAUCACUGCAACUUCCUGGUCGCCCUCUGAUGACCUCAUCGUGUUACUGGGGUGUAUUCAUAAAGAGCCACCAGCCUCCUCCAUGUCUUGUUGGGGAAUUAAUGGGAUUUUAGGACAAAUGCAGAAAAUAAGGUCACCGGCUUAGGAGAUCUGAUAUGUUUUGAUAAUCUUUAUCAGCUAAUGUCACUUUUGUGUGAAUUUUCAAGCAAUUAUUUGAAUUCUGAAGCAAUUACAGUAUGUCCUCAGAAAAAGCCUCUAAGGCACAUAGAGGCCUCGUAAUUCAGUCAUGUUAACUGACUGAUAUUAUAUUACAGAACAAAACAUAGAAGAUAUCCUAGACCUGUGUUAACCUCAGACAUUAUUUUUGAACGUUUAUUACAAAGCCAUUAAUUUUCCCAAUAGGAAUGGCCUGAACGAACCAGAAGUAACACAUUUCAUUUAUUUUUUUUAGGACUACAAGCUGACGAUCUCUAUGAGUUGCAGUCCGUAGCAAAUGAAAAACGUUUUGUAACGAAAACGAGAGUCUCUAUUGGACAAAUUCAGGUAGGUCCCACCCAGUUUCUUUGUUUUUGUAGUGGAUACACUCCUGGUACUGCAGUUGUACCUCUCUGCUCUUUAGCUUCUCUACACAGAUUUAAAAUGACCAACAAUGACUGACUUAUAUAAUAGACUACAGUAUAUAUGGUAUAUUUAUAGAUCUAUAGAUAUAUAAAGAAAACAACAUCUGAUUGUUGAAAGCUUGAAAUCAGUAUACAUGAGUUUUUAAUGUCAUAAAACCAAAUCACCAGUUGUGUUACAGUACAACCCACUACACACAUCUCCAGUGCCACAUACAGCUCUCUCUCUGGCUCUGUCUCAGCUCUCUUUCUCUCUCCCUCUCUGUCUCUCUCUCUGGCUCUGUCUCAGCUCUCUUUCUCUCUCCCUCUCUGUCUCUCUCUCUGGCUCUGUCUCAGCUCUCUCUCUGGCUCUGUCUCAGCUCUCUCUCUCUCUCUCUCUCUCCCUUUCUGUCUCUCUCUGUCUCUCUCAGCUCUCUCUCUCUCUCUCUCUCUCUCUCUCUCUCUCUCUCUCUCUCUCUCUCUCUCUCCCUCUCUGUCUCUCUCUGCUCUCUCUCUCUCUCUCUCUCUCUCUCUCUCCCUCUCUGUCUCUCUCUGCUCUCUCUCUCUGUCUCUCUCUCUCUCUCUCCCUCUCUGUGGCUCUGUCUCAGCUCUCUCUCUCUCUCUCUCCCUCUCUGUCUCUCUCUGCUCUCUCUCUCUCUCUCUCUCUCUCUCUCCCUCUCUGUCGCUCUCUGUCGCUCUCUGUGGCUCUGUCUCAGCUCUCUCUCUCUCCCUCUCUGUCUCAGCUCUCUGCUCUCUCUGUCUCAGCUCUCUCUCUCUCUCUCUCUCUGCUCUCUCUGUCUCAGCUCUCUCUCUCGCUCUCCCUCUCUGUCUCUCUCUGAGCCAGUGGGAUGUAACUUACUGUAGAUUGUGAGUUACCAGGCACAUUAAACAUAACAGCCUUCAAUACAUGAUUACACCCAAACACAUUCCUGGCUGCUCUCUAACCCCCAUCCAUACCAGCGGGCAUUCUAUUUAACGCAUAUAUCCCUUUGAAUAUGUAACAAAUGAUAACGCAUAUUUACUCUGAUUAAGUGUCACGUGAAUGUAAUGAAAAGCUUGUCAAUGAGGCCAUCUCAUCUCAACCCUUUCAGACCAUGCAGGUAGUGAACUACAGAGGAUGACAGGUGUUCCUAGUCUUACAGUUCAAUAUUGGCAUUUUGUAGCAUAUUAUAAUUUUUUUUAACAGCAGAAGUCUCAAUAAAUAGAUGUAUAUUAGCAAAGUGCAUCAUGGAAGACCAGUAGAAAAAUACCUGUAAAUUAUCAAUCUGUUACAGUUCUCUGCAGAAACACAAUUUUUUUGGGGGGGGGAUUUUUUGAAAACUUUGUAAGACCAAGAUAUUAUUCAUAGUAAUAACAAAUAAAAAUAACAAUGCAAUUUCUUAAACGUUUUAGGGAGAUAUAAUAGAUCUUUAGAAAACAUGAAGAAGACAUUGGAGCGCAUCUAAAAUGGCACCCUAUUCCCUAUAAAGUGCAAAGCCAGAACCGUAUGGGCCCUGGUCUAAAGUAGUGCACUAUAUAGUGAAUAGGGUACCAUUUGCGACACUGAUAUCCUUUUCCCAAUAUACGACCCCCCCCCCCCAUACCAAGCCACAGUAGUCCCUGUAGGACUGAAGGAGCUGAAUGUGACCACAUUGAAACAAAUAGUCAAAAUAUACA